GCCGCCCGAGCGCGGAGCUGUUCGAACGCUUGCGUGACCGCUUGGAGUGCCGAAUCACCGUGCCAAGGACACGGCCCAGAGAGCUGGUUCACGGGGUGUUAAAGGCUGGCGGUAAAGCAGUAGCUAUUUUUUUCCCAACUUGUUUCAGACAGGAAGAUCUAAACCACAACUCUGUGUGGGGAAAAGUGAAUUUCUUGCAUCUCCUAAAGACGUUCCAAAUGCUGUUUGUGCUACCCCGCCAGGCAUUAACCGUGAAGAUGAAAGGAAAUGUCUGAAUCAUAGAAUAGUGAAGAAAACAGACUUGUAACCUCAGAGAUUUUGUGGGCUGGAAUAUCGUAAGGGAGUUUAUUAUUUAAAUGGGCGUUAGUCCAGAUGCAAGGGUGAUGAGGUUUGAUGUACUGGGGACUUUCCAUGGGGCAUGGAUCAGCAGUGUAUAUCAUGAGCAUCAGCAAUGUAUAGAAUGAGCAGUUGUGAGGGGCUGAGAGCUGUUAGCUGGUGUGUCACAAGGAAAUAACGAAGACCUUGCUCUGGCUGAAGCUUUGCAGUUGCAAAGGUCUGUACAGAAUUCACAAACCUGCUUUAGAUUGGGACGAGAGAGGUGUGGAAGGAAGGCUGGCUGUAGGUGCUGACUGUGAGCUGUAUCUGGGAAAUGCCCCCAUGCUUCAGGACAGACAGGUGUGGGGGUUGGCGGUGAGGGUGGCCUGUGAUGGGGCAGUCCUUGUCCUUGGCCAGUCUGUGUCACCGAGUGCCACGUGUCUGGUCCAGGUCACUGAGCAGUUCCCGCAGGUGACAUUGGUGUGAGGGUGCGUGAGAGCCGGGGGUUGCGGUGGCUCCGUGGCGGGCAGGACUGCAGAGCUGUCCCCUCUGCUAUGGUCACACGGCCCGCAGGGUCUUCUGCCGGGGGCAGGGAUGAGGACAGCAGGGCAUUGCUGGGGGGGUCUCUGGCCGACGCCGUUUCAGCAAUCCUGUUGGCCUGUGUUGAACUCUGGGGUUCUGCGGGUCAUUUUAGCAGCUUCUGAGGCAGCUUUUCCUGGGUGUUAGAUUGUGCCAUUGAUUCCUGCCCAGCGGGGACGGGCAGGUGUAGGAUUCCUGCUCCCAAUUAGAGGGAGGGAGAAGAUUUGCACUUCCAGGAGCUCUGUGUGCUGCACAGCUGGUGCAGUGCGUGACUCUGCCAGACUCAAAAUCGGGUAAUGAAGUUGAUUCAGUGCUUCUUAAAAAUAAAUAUUUAUACUAUUUUGAAGUUUAAUUAUUUGACUCUUCUUUCCAAGGUUUGUGCUUAAGCUGGGCUUUUUUGGAAAAGGUGUAAAAUAUACUACUCUACCAGAUGAUACCUUUUUAUAACAUACACUUAUACUGGUGAGAGAUGUUACAGGUGAAAAAGAUGCAAAUUAAUACAUAAUUUACAAUUACUAAUUGCACUUAAGCCGCUAUUGUAUCGUAUUUAAGAGAAUUCAGAAGGCAGUUACUGGGAGCACUUGCUCUCUCACCCAAGGCACAGGAGGGCAGGCGGCGGUGGGGCUGCUGUGGUGGCCGUGGGGACUGUCACCUCCUGCCUAUCCCACUGGCCUGUCCGGGGCAGCCGGCCGAGGCACCAGCCUUCUUUCGGCUGACAACAGAAGCGAGAUACUAGUAGUUACCAUGGUCUAGAAAUGUAGAAAUAAAAUACCAUGCUUUUUUUAUUUGAAGUUGGGAUCUGGAAUGCUGGGAGCAAACGGGUGUUUGCAGAGGGGCGCUGGGGUAUGUCUGCCAUCCUGGCUCUUGAACUGGCGGUUGCAAAACCUCUGCUUUCAUAUUUCAGUACCAAAGAAAAUUAUUUAAUUUUUAGCUUCAGCCCUUUGCUCUAAACAUUUGGAGGAAUUCAUGUUAGUUGGAUAUUUAACAGUGCCGAUGUUAUUGGUUUGCUGGGACUCGCUGUGCUUGGACGGUGCUGGUGUAAAGGUCUGUGUGUACUGUCACCUCUUGCCUGGUGUGUCACUGUUAAUGUCACCUCUUCCACCAGCGUGUCACCGUUAAUGCCACUUCUUCCCUGGCAUGUCACUGUGUCCUGUUGUAUGGCCUGGCUCUUGUCCCUGGUCUCCCAAGACAGGGAACUAAACCACCAUGUCUGUUAGUGCCUAGUGUAGCGCACUGGCUCUCUGGUCUUCAAAAUACACCGGCUUUGUCAAGGUACUUAUUUAAGCCAGCCCACCUCCAAGCACCCUCUCUGUUUAAAGAGUAAUAAUACAUGUGGUUUGACACUUGGUUCAGACAUCUUGAUGUGGAAGUUGAGUGUAUCUCCAUUACGCAGAUUCUAGUUUGAGAGGGGGGCACGUGAGAUGAAAAGCUUGGCUUCAGGCGGGAGUGACUCCUGCAGCGGAGCAGAGGCCUUGGGCAGGCGCAGCGAGUGCCGGUCCCGGCCGGUCCCUGCGGCUGCGGCCGGGGGACACGAGCCCGUCCCGCCUGCUUCAGCUCCACCGUGUGCUACUGACCAAGGGCUCGUGUUGUAAACGGGGCAGGGGUGACUGGGCAGCAGUGGAGUGACUGGCGGCACAGGGACCUCUGAGCAGGCAGCGGUUUGCUUGUUUUCGAUGCCCGUGCAUGAAUUUCCAUAGUAAAGCUGUAGAUGGCAUUGCACGACUGCACGCCUGUGUCGGCAGCACAGCUGCUGGGUGCAUUGGGGAGGCUGCUCUUGUUUCGAAUUAGGUUUGUUUUCUGCUUUUGUUGGUUGGUUUGUUUGCUUUUUACAAUGUGUGAAAAUAUAAAUAUUUGUGGACAGAUUAAACUUGGACAUCUGUUUUUUCUAUACUUGUUGUUGGCAAGGAUUUCAUGACAGUAUUUUGCAUCAACAGGAGCUAAGUUUCAAAGUGCAGGACAAGUUUGCAGUAAUUGGGGAUUUUCUGUGCUACCCUGACUUUAUUUGCAGGUUUCUGCUGUUUUCCAUGGGAUACUUUCUGCCCAGCAGGUGACUCGAGGUGACCUUCCCUGUCAGCGGGAUGCCAGCUCCUCGGGGGACCUUUCUGUGAAUCUCUGUCUGUAGCAGAAACUGCCGCUGUGCACCUCGGCGUGCUGCAGGCUGUUUGGAGGAGUUGCUAAUAAGAUCUUGGAGACUUGCAGCCGCACACUUGUGUCUCACAGGAGCGCCAGGCCGUAUUUCUGAUCAGGCUGGAGAGUUGGGCGGGGAAUAACCUGAUGAAAUUUAACAAGGGCAAGUGUAGAGUCCUGCAUCUGGGCAGGAACAACCCCAGGUUCCAGUAUAGGUUGGGAAAUUACAUAUUAGAGAGCAGUGUAGGGGAAAGGGACCUGGGGGUCCUGGGGACGGCAGGGUGACCAUGAGCCAGCACUGGGCCCUUGUGGCCAGGAAGGCCAGUGGUACCUGGGGUGGGUUAGAAGGGGGUGGUCAGUAGGUCAGAGAGGUCCUCCUUCCCCUCUGCUCCGCCCUGGUGAGACCACAUCUGGAAUAUUGUGUCCAGUUGUGGCCCCUCAGUUCCAGCAGGACAGGGAACUGCUGGAGAGGGUCCAAUGUAGGGCAACAAAGAUGAUUAAGGGAGUGGAGCACCUCCCUUAUGAAGAAAGGCUGAGGGAGCUGGGUCUCUUUAGUUUGGAGAAGAGGAGACUGAGGGGUGACCUUAUUAAGGCUUAUAAAUAUAUAAAGGAUGAGUGCCAUGAGGAUGGAGCCAGGCUCUUCUCGGUGGCAAACAGUGAUAGGACAAGGGGUAAUGGGAUCAAGUUGGAACACAAGAGGUUCCGCUUAAAUUUGAGAAGAAACUUCUUCAUGGUGAGGGUGGCAGAGCCUGGCCCAGGCUGCCCAGGGGGUUGUGGGGUCUUCUUCUCUGCAGACAUUCCAACCCACCUGGACAUGUUCCUGUACGACCUCACCUGGGCGUUCCUGCUCCAGCAGGGGGAUUGGACUGGAUGAUCUUUUGAGGUCCCUUCCAAUCCCAAACAUACUGUGAUACUGUGAUCUGGGAGGUGGUGUUUGCGAUCUGUGCCCCAAGCCCACUCGUGGGCAGGAUUUGACCCCCGCGCCUGGUUGCAGGUUCCAGCCCUGGAGCAGGCGCUGGAGCUCCUGACAGCUGACGGUGGUUGUGCUGGAGGGUGCUGGUUGGCCCCAGGAACAGUAAAUCCAAGCUGGGGAACUUGUUUCCCAUCCCUGCUCCAACGCAGCAAAGCUGAUGUUGGCUGCAGGCCCCUCCUCGGGUGGAGUCUGUUGAACCGCAGCUGAACGCUCAGACGCUUUACGUUUGGUCCAGAUGCAGUGACCAGGACUUCUAGAGCUCUGGUGGCUUUGCCUGCGUGUCUGUGAUGUGUGGGGAAAAGUUUGUGCCUCUACUCAUUCCGACCUCUUGUCUCAAAACACUCAGUGACGCUGGGUAUUAACUCUCCAGCUCUACAGACGCUGGGAAUUGAGGCCGGAUGGGUGCAGGUGGGUUUGGGAAUUUCUUACAGGAUUUGGGGCUUUCUGACCAGGCUGCUUGCAGGGACUGGCUAAAGAAAACGUCAGCCUCUCCGCGCAAAAACAUGGGGACGUGCUCAGUGUGCAGCCACGCGCUUGUGAUUCAGUGGGAAGCUUCAGCACAGCAAAGAAUUCUCUGUAGAAGUUUAAUUCUAAAGGUGUUCGGGUUUCUCCUUCAGUCUGCGCUGCCAGCAAAAGGCAGCGCGCAGCCAGAACCGUCCCCCCUGCUGCCUUCGGGGUGACCUGGCACUGCGGCAUCUCUGCAACUUGAGAUAAAAAGCGUAUGAUUUCUCUUCUGUAUUUGCAUAAUGGGAAGUGAGUCAGAGGAGAAAGGAGGCUUUAUGGAACAAGAUUAAGCUAAUAGUGGGAUUAACAAACUGUAUAAUAAGAAAUUUCCAGCUCUCUUCUUUAUUCCUGUUGCCCAAACUAUACAAAGGCACAAAUGGUCCUCGUAUCACCUACAGUGGCACACACUGGGUUGAAAGAAAGGGAAAUACAAUAGACUUAUUAAGACAAAAAUCCCUCGAGUAAAUUUGUAUUGCCGAGAGAAGUGAAUGGUACCAAUUAGACUAAUUGUUGGGCAAAGAUUCUCAUCUUUUGUUGGAUUUUUUUUUUUUUAAUAUCAUCUCUAGGUUUUGCAUGAACAAAUAAUGACUGUUCAUUUUCCGGUUUGAAAAUGCCUAAAGACAUUAAUGCCCUUUUAGGAGAAUGGUAUACAUGGAUAUGUUAGUAUUAAAGGAGUCAGACACUACUGUACAUAUUAAUCCAGAAAAUGAGAAAAAUCAUCCGUCAAACAGUAACUUUCUGAAGAAAACCCAGUGUUUGAAUACAAACAGUAGGGAGGUCUCUGGUAAUUGCUCCCGGCCCCCGACCUGCCCGGCUCCCGGGCGGAGGGACGCGCUGCCGGCGCGGCUCGGCCCUUCCCUUUCUGUUCCUGCUGUGGAACGGGGUGAAAAGCUCCGGCUGGGUUUGCCCAGCACAGGCUGAGGCCGAGAAUGGAGUUAGCGGGGAGGUCCAGACAGUGGGUGGAGAGACCAAACACAGUUCUUCUCAUUAGCGCUGCUGAAGUGUUGGUGAUGGAUAAAAACAGGGAGGACGGGGAAUGGAGCAAAACAAGAAGAGAAGGGGAAAUAUUUUGAUGUAUUUUUUUUCUCUCUUCUGUGUGUCCGCUCUAUCUUCUGUGGCUGCUGGUGUCUGCAAGGCACUGCUGCAGUUCAGCGGCCAGCAUUAACACUUGGUGUUACUACCCUGCGGCAGAGCGGUGCCAGAAAGGUCACGUAGCUGACGUCCCUGGUGAUGGCCCACGGGGGCCGGUCUCCUGAGGCUCCCCCCGCAGCGCCGGUGGCCGUGUCCCGCGCGGCAGAGCUGCUCCGCGGCCCUCUCGCCCUGCACGGUUCACAUGCCUUUGUCCUCGGCUGGGCCAGGUUUGCGUCUCCGGAGGGACUGGAACGUGGUGCUGACCCCUGCAAACCGGCCCGGACGCCUCUGCUCCCAGUCUCACUGCUGAAUCGCCUUCUGCACCCAGCUCCUCCACUUGGCAGCACCUCGGGGGAGACCUCUUUGCCACCUGUAACACCCAGACUGC